rnacentral:rRNA from 1 species
UACGUAGGGGGCAAGCGUUGUCCGGAAUCAUUGGGCGUAAAGCGCGUGUAGGCGGCUCGGUAAGUCUGCUGUGAAAGUCCAGGGCUCAACCCUGGGAUGCCGGUGGAUACUGUCGAGCUCGAGUCCGGAAGAGGCGAGUGGAAUUCCUGGUGUAGCGGUGAAAUGCGCAGAUAUCAGGAGGAACACCAAUAGCGAAGGCAGCUCGCUGGGACGUGACUGACGCUGAGACGCGAAAGCGUGGGGAGCAAACAGG